rnacentral:misc_RNA from 1 species
AACUUUUACAACUGAACACCUUGGGACAAUCCUCUUCUCCAACUAUAACUUAAAACACUUGGAACUCUGGCAACAUCUGCAGGCCGCCAACCCAUCUUGUUUACAAGAAAAUCCAUGGUGUUCCUAAUUUUCUCAAUUGAGAAACUCAUACACGAGGGAAACUUUCUGAUAACCGACCAAAUUUCAUCUUCUGAUAAGCCACAA